GUGGUUGACUUUAUUCCUGUAGAUUGCACUGAACAAGCGGACAUCGACAAGCUACAUUCUCGCAUCAAACAUGAGGUUUUAAACAAAGAGACAUUUCCAAGCAUCGAACAGACAUUACCCAGAUGCUACUGUGAGGUGGAGAAUGAAAUCCAAGAACUCCUGAAAAACGGUGACAUUGCUGAGCAUGGUCAGUAUUUUUUCUUUUCAAUUUUAAGAUUACAAUGUUUGUUGUGUUUGUUCUUAAAUAAGUCUGAAAUUUGCUUCUAUUAACAGGAAUUGUGAGUCAAAGCUCCCUCUUGUAUGAACUAAAGAACAGACAUGAGACACUGGACGAUGACAAACUAAAGUUAAUUCUUCAGUAUCUCCACCGAAUCGGCGUCAUUAUGUGGUACAAGGAAAUCCCGGAAUUGGCGGGUUCUUUGUUUGUAAAGCCAUCAUUCCUCAUCUCAUUGUUCAAGACUAUUGUGAGACAUGACCUAGUCCAGGAGCUGAACAAGAUUUCCCCUGCACAGCUGAAGUCAGAAAAUGCACUUGUGAUACAGAAGAAACGAUGGAUCAGUGACUAUAAAGACAGAGCGUCCUUAAACAAUGUGGCUAUCAGGAUCCUGGUGCGGAAUGAGCUCCAGAAGAAUAAUUAUGGCAUUACUGAUGAAGAGCUAAUUGAGGAGGUGGUUGGGUCCAAAAAGAGGGAAGGAAGUCUUCUUUCACUACUAAAGCACUUUGAUGUAUGUUUGUCGACCAAACAUAACAGCCCUCUCAAUCCGAAAGCCAAUGAAUUCUGUCCGCAGAAAAAUUGGAAGCCCUCAAAUCCGAUUGUGUAUGAGCCAGAUGCUUGUCUGUUCCCAAGUUACCUGUCAGACAACAAACAGGUAGAGCAAAAGUGGGAAUCAGACAAUACGGAGGACCUGAAUAUCCAUGUUUACUUCCUACCUGAGAUACCACAUGGUUUCUUUCACAGGCUUGUGAUCAGGACAUGCUCCUUAUACUCUCCAUUCUGGAUCGGAAAAGACCAGUGUGUGCUGUGCUGUGGUGACAAACGGUUUCUGCUCAGAGAACGCUGUGAUGAGGACCAGUUCAUUGAGAUCCGCUGCAAAGAGAGCGAGCUUGAAACCCCAGGAGAGAUCCAGAAAGCAUGGGGAGUGAUAAGGGAGAUUAUGAAACGGCUGAACACACUGACAGAGCAGUGGCAAGGGCUGUACCUGACUGUCCACAGUCCCUGUAAAUCCAGUGACUGUGAUCAGUACUUUCAAUGGAAUGACUGGCAAGAAUGGCUAGAAGAUUCAGGGACGAGCAAAUUUAAUGUAGGACUAGAGGAGAAACAAACUUGCCCUAAUGGACACCAACGAAGGACAGAGUUGCUGUUCCCUAGAACUCCUGAUGCUUCGACCUAAGGAGAGGACACAUGGAACCAAUAAUACAAAUAGAAACUCACUUUACUGGACGGAAAAGGUUGUUAAAGCCCCACAUCAGACUACAAAUGUAUCAUUGCUUAAACAUUGUAAAACACAACUUGAACAUGUUUACGUAAUGAAUUAAAUUUGCACAGAAAAUAGCAUUGUAAAUGUUUUCAACAUGUUAUUACACAAAUUGUAAUAGCUCCAAAUCAUUGAAUGUAGCCUAGAUCACACUUACAAUAGUUAUUUUAUAUUUUUUGAUUUAGUAUGGAAUGGAGAAAUCUCACUUUAUUUAGGGGAACAUAAGAUUUGUGUAGUCUACUCUUAGUAAGAAAUUGUUCGUAUGUCGUCUUGUAGAAACAUAUUGUCGCCGCUAGGGGGAGCGCUUUAUACAUUUACGUUUUACAGUGCAUUUUGUUUGAGGACUUUUUGUGGAAGGUAAAUUAUUGCUGCUGUGGAGUCCUGGCUUGAACAUGUAAUGAAUUGUUCAAUAAAGUUAUCCAGAUACAAAGUUUUAUGGGAUUUACCAAAGUCUGUCAGCCAUGCUUCGAAGUAGCUAGAAAAUAAAAAGUAGGCCUACAUGUUUACCUCAGCGUGUAAAUAUUCUAACAAAUCACAGCAAUUAUGAAGUUUAAAGUCAAAUAUUUUUUGGUUUUAAUUACAAUUUAUUUUAAUGGUCCCCUUCAGACAUUCUGUUGACUAGAAGUAAUUUUGCAACUACACAUAAGCUAACUAACAGUUAAGGUUAGGGUUAGGGUUAAGGUUAAUAAGCAUGUGCAAUGUAUGUGCAAAGUUACCUAUAUAGAAUGUUUGUUGGGAGACCGUAACAAAGUAUUGGCAGAUAUUAAGCAGACAGUCUACUAAUUACUGGUAGUUGGCAUGUAGUUACAUAUAGUCAACCGAAUGUGUAAAGGGGACCAUCAGAAUAAAGGGUUACCGGUUAUUUUUAUUGUGUUGUAAUUUUUUUCCACACAAACUUGUUUAAUUUUUUAUUUUUUUUUUAUCUGUUCAUUCGUGUUUAGAUUUUUACUUCAUUAUAAAGUAAAUAGUCAUUAUCAGGUGAUUUUGUUGAUGGUGCUUUACAAUAUACUAAUUUCAGUGACAGUUCACUUGGAGCAGUCUGAGGUUAGGAACACACACACACACACACACACACACACACACACACAAACAGUGUAGAGACUUUCCAUUGACUUCUGUUGUGUUUAUAUUGCGCUAAAGAUUUCUAUCCUUAAACAGAUCCCUCACACAAACCGUCUGCUUUGUUAAAUUUUUAUUAAGAAAACAUAUUUGUAUUAAUUUUUCCUCAUAAUAACGAAUGAUCCACACAAGUUUUACUAUUCUUGUGGAGACAUUUACACCUGAAAAUAUAUGAAAUACCUGAUCACAACACAACACAAUCUUAAUGAUCAAAAAAGUCUUUAAAGAUUUUUUUUUUUUUAAUUCUAGAGGAUAAAAGUUACAUAUGUAUUCAAGUCUCUCAUGUAGCCUACUUGUUUAUAUACAGAAAGGUUUCCAGUAGAUUAUAUCGAAAUUCUUGUACUAUACACACACACACACACACACACACACACACACACACACACACACACACACACACACACACACACACACACACACACACACACACACACACACACACACACACACACACACACACACACACACACACACACACACACACACACACACACACACACACACACACACACACACACACACACACACACACACACACACACACACACACACACACACACACACACACACACACACACACACACACACACACACACACACACACACACACACACACACACACACACACACACACACACACACACACACACACACACACACACACACA
ensembl:lncRNA